rnacentral:rRNA from 1 species
UGGGGAAUUUUCCGCAAUGGGCGAAAGCCUGACGGAGCAACGCCGCGUGAGGGAUGAAGGCCUCUGGGCUGUAAACCUCUUUUCUCAAGGAAGAAGAACUGACGGUACUUGAGGAAUAAGCCACGGCUAAUUCCGUGCCAGCAGCCGCGGUAAUACGGGAGUGGCAAGCGUUAUCCGGAAUCAUUGGGCGUAAAGCGUCCGCAGGCGGCCCUGUAAGUCUGUCGUUAAAGCGUGGAGCUCAACUCCAUUUCGGCGAUGGAAACUACAGGGCUUGAGUGUGGUAGGGGCAGAGGGAAUUCCCGGUGUAGCGGUGAAAUGCGUAGAUAUCGGGAAGAACACCAGUGGCGAAGGCGCUCUGCUGGGCCAUAACUGACGCUCAUGGACGAAAGCCAGGGGAGCGAAAGGG